rnacentral:rRNA from 1 species
UACGUAGGGUGCGAGCGUUGUCCGGAAUUAUUGGGCGUAAAGAGCUUGUAGGCGGUUUGUCGCGUCUGCUGUGAAAAUCCGGGGCUCAACCCCGGACUUGCAGUGGGUACGGGCAGACUAGAGUGUGGUAGGGGAGACUGGAAUUCCUGGUGUAGCGGUGAAAUGCGCAGAUAUCAGGAGGAACACCAAUUGCGAAGGCAGCUCGCUGGGACGUUAUUGACGCUGAGACGCGAAAGCGUGGGGAGCAAACAGG